UUAAGUGACUAAGCGUACACGGUGGAUGCCUUGGCAGUUGGAGGCGAUGAAGGACGUAUUAACUUGCGAUAAGCCUAGUCAAGCUAGUAAAAAGCACUUGAGACUAGGAUUUCCGAAUGGGGAAACCCACCUGCUUGCAGGUAUCGUUAACUGAAUACAUAGGUUAACGAGGCGAACGCGGAGAACUGAAACAUCUAAGUACCCGUAGGAAAAGAAAUCAACCGAGAUUCCGAAAGUAGCGGCGAGCGAAAUCGGAACAGCCCUUAAGCUUAUUAUGUGUUAAUGGAAGGCUCUGGAAAGUGCCACGAUACAGGGUGAUAGUCCCGUACAUGAAAAGACAUUUUAAGUGAAAUCGAGUAGGUCGGAGCACGUGAAACUUUGACUGAAUAUAGGUGGACCAUCAUCUAAGGCUAAAUACUCCCAACUGACCGAUAGUGAACCAGUACCGUGAGGGAAAGGCGAAAAGAACCCCUGUGAGGGGAGUGAAAUAGAACCUGAAACCGUGUACGUACAAGCAGUAGGAGCAGACUUGUUCUGUGACUGCGUACCUUUUGUAUAAUGGGUCAGCGACUUAUAUUUUGUAGCGAGGUUAACCGAUUAGGGUAGCCGUAGGGAAACCGAGUCUUAACUGGGCGAAUAGUUGCAAGGUAUAGACCCGAAACCCGGUGAUCUAGCCAUGGGCAGGUUGAAGGUUGAGUAACAUCAACUGGAGGACCGAACCGACUAAUGUUGAAAAAUUAGCGGAUGACUUGUGGCUGGGGGUGAAAGGCCAAUCAAACCGGGAGAUAUCUGGUUCUCCUCGAAAGCUAUUUAGGUAGCGCCUCGAGCGAAUACCAUUGGGGGUAGAGCACUGUUAAGGCUAGGGGGUCAUCCCGACUUACCAACCCUUUGCAAACUCCGAAUACCGUAAAGUAAUAUCCGGGAGACACACGGCGGGUGCUAACGUCCGUCGUGAAGAGGGAAACAACCCAGACCGCCAGCUAAGGUCCCAAAGUCAUAGUUAAGUGGGAAACGAUGUGGAAAGGCCCAGACAGCCAGGAGGUUGGCUUAGAAGCAGCCAUCCUUUAAAGAAAGCGUAAUAGCUCACUGGUCGAGUCGGUCUGCGCGGAAGAUGUAACGGGGCUAAACUAUGCACCGAAGCUGCGGAUUCAUACUUUGUAUGAGUGGUAGGGGAGCGUUCUGUAAGCGGUUGAAGGUGUACCGGGAGGUAUGCUGGACGUAUCAGAAGUGCGAAUGCUGACAUGAGUAACGAUAAUGCGGGUGAAAAACCCGCACGCCGGAAGACCAAGGGUUCCUAUCCCAUGUUAAUCAGGGUAGGGUAAGUCGACCCCUAAGGCGAGGCCGAAAGGCGUAGUCGAUGGGAAACGGAUUAAUAUUUCCGUACUUGGUAUAAUUGCGAUGGGGGGACGGAGAAGGCUAAGCAAGCAUGGCGAUGGUUGUCCAUGUGAAAGUGAGUAGGGCGUUUGUUUAGGUAAAUCCGGACGAACAUUAAACCUGAGACACGAGACGAGUCACUACGGUGAUGAAGUUGCUGAUGCCAUACUUCCAGGAAAAGCCUCUAAGCUUCAGAUUAUACCGAAUCGUACCCCAAACCGACACAGGUGGUCAGGUAGAGAAUACUAAGGCGCUUGAGAGAACUCGGGUGAAGGAACUAGGCAAAAUGGUACCGUAACUUCGGGAGAAGGUACGCCGGCUUUGGUGAUGGGACUUGCUCCCUAAGCUGAGGCUGGUCGAAGUGACCAGGUGGCUGCGACUGUUUAUUAAAAACAUAGCACUCUGCAAACACGUAAGUGGACGUAUAGGGUGUGACGCCUGCCCGGUGCCGGAAGGUUAAUUGAUGGGGUUAGCUUCGGCGAAGCUCUUGAUCGAAGCCCCGGUAAACGGCGGCCGUAACUAUAACGGUCCUAAGGUAGCGAAAUUCCUUGUCGGGUAAGUUCCGACCUGCACGAAUGGUGUAACCAUGGCCACGCUGUCUCCACCCGAGACUCAGUGAAAUUGAAAUCGCAGUGAAGAUGCUGUGUACCCGCGGCUAGACGGAAAGACCCCGUGAACCUUUACUACAGCUUGGCACUGAACAUUGAACCUACAUGUGUAGGAUAGGUGGGAGACUUUGAAG
rnacentral:rRNA from 1 species